UCCCAGGUGGCUCAGUGGUAAAGAACCUGUCUGCCAAACAGGAGAGGCAACAGACACAGGUUUGAUCCCUGGGUUGGGAA
rnacentral:tRNA from 1 species